rnacentral:lncRNA from 1 species
AUGUUAAUCAUAGAUGCCCCAGUGGAUGUGAAGAUUGAGGGAGUGUCCAGUGUGAAGGAAGGAGACUCUGUGGAGCUGAGAUGCUUCAGUGACAGUAACCCUGCUGCCCACAGCUACCACUGGCACAACAGUAGAGGACCUCUGCCCACCACUGGACCUACCAUCACACUGGAGAAUGUGACCAGACUCACUGAAGCCCUCUACUGCACUGCCAUCAAUAGAGAGGGACAAGGCAACUCCAGCCCACUGAAACUCAAUGUAGAGUACCCCCCUGAGAUCAAAGUGGGCUCCGCUUGCACUUCAGACAUCUCCAUGGUAACCUGUCUGUGCAUUGUGGACUCGGAGCCCCCCGGCUCCGUGGAGUGGUCUCUUCCAGAUGGACCCCUGUCCAACCGGUCCAGUACCAGAGUGGAGAGGCAUGGGUCAAUUACUAUGAUGACCCUACAGAGGGCACUAGGCUUCUCCGAGACCAUCCACUGCCAUGCCAGCAACACACAGGGCAAUGCCACCUUGUCCUUCACUGUGUCCACAAAUGAUAAGAUGUCGAUGCUGUACGUUUCAAUUGGUAUUGCUGCAUUAGUGGUGGUAGUAAUACUAAUUACCAUGUCAGCUUGCCUAUUGAACAAGAAGGGUGGGAGGAGUCAUAGGGACCCGUCAGUAACCUGCAAGCAGGAAGUGCAUACAGCCAAGUGUGCUUCCUCAGAUCCCUCAACUUCAAGGAAAGAGCAGACAGACACCAGCAGUGAAAUCCACACAAACUACUGCACCAACGAUCACGUAUAUGGAAACAUGGAGACUGAAGAGGAUGGCGACCCAUACGAGUGUGUUGAUGGAGACGAUGCAGUCUAUGCUAAUGUAUGAACACAACAGAAAGCAUGUGGAAGUCAGCUGGCCCAGAGGCAGUGGUACUCAGUUUGUCAAAGGUUCCAGUAAAAUAUUAACAUUUUAACCCAAUGUAGCAGAACAUAUUAUUUGUAUUAUAUAUAUAUAUAUAUAUAUAUAUAUAUAUAUAUAUAUAGAGAGAGAUAUAUAUAUAUAUAUAUAUAUAUAUAUAUAUAUAUAUAUAUA